CAAAACAACAUUGCAGGAGCCACUGACACUUUUGAAAUCAGAAGAUGAUCUGAUCAGCUCUGUGUCCCAGAAAGAUAACUCUGUUGUCACCAAAUGUUAACCCUAUUAUUGUGUUUUUACCAUAGGCUGCAUUAAAAACUGGUCAGCAUUUCUUUACCUUAUUUUCACAGUAAUAUUAAUUGAACCUACACCUGGCAGUCUGUAUAACAAACAUAUGCUAGAAAUUACAAAUUUGGCAGAAAAGGGAAUUGUAAUUAAAUAUCAUUUUAGUACAAGGACUGCAUCAUAGCUACCAAACCUAGUUUUCAAGGGAAAUAAAUUUACAUGGAAUAAUAAAGUCACUCCCCUAGAAGCUGUGAUGUAACAUUUGAAAAAUACAUGAACUUACAUCAGUUAUUAGCAUGGUACCAGUUCUACCAUCCAGUCAUUGUACAUUGAGGAACUAUACAUUUUUUAAAUACCAAAACAUAUAGUAUCUUGAAGUGUAAAAUAAUCUAGUAAGAUAAUGUAAAUCUUAUCAGAUAAUGUAAGUGAAUUCUGCAGGUGCCUUCAGAAACUAUAUGUAGGAUUCUAUUUAAUAAAGAAUGACUUUGAGGGUCACCUAGAUGGCUUAGUCGGUUAUGCGUCUGACUCGAUUUCAGCUCAGGUCUCUAUCUCAGAGUCUUGAGUUCAAGCCCUGCAUUGGGCUCUACACUGGACACGAAGCCUAGUUAAACAAACAAACAAACAAACAAACAAAUAAAUAAAAUAAAGGAUGACUUUGAAGGAGGCUUAUGAGUUUGGGCAUACAAUUCUCUUUGAGUAAGAUAUACACACUUGUCUAAAAGUACAGCUCUAUAACAUAAUUACACUUAAGCCACAAAUAGCUUUUGAUUUUUAAGCUUUGUAGUUCAUUGCCACAACACCAUCAGUUGCCACUUCAUUUUAAUUCUUCUCAUUAAUGCUAGUUUAGUUCAUCAAGGGACUGAGAUGUCAUGAUAAUGACAGAUGAGACUGAAAGCAUACAGAUUUCAUGAAGUUCCUCACAUUUUGUAAGGUUUUUUUGUAAUAACAUUUCAGAUGCUUUGGGCCCUAAGAAUUGAUGAGAAUGAUCACAGCAUUUGAAGCCCUCCAUUUAGGUCUGAUUAUUGGAGCACACUGACUUGAUUAAUGUUUAACAGCGGCUGUCCUGCAGAUUCACUAAGGAAGUUGAGAGACGGUGAUUUCAUUCUUCUUUACUUGACCAGCCUUGUUGCACAGUUAAUUAAGACCUGCUGAAGAAUAGCCUUAGGAAUAGGGCCUGGGAAGGGAAAGCCUUUUAAAUAAUGCAAAUAGAAGAGUGAAUUUAUUUUCACAGCUGAAAUAGCUGGUUUUCCCCAGUUUGGAUUAGUGAGAUCAGAUUUGAUGUUGCUGGCUGGGUAGAGAACUAAUAUAAAGAAACAACUCCUUUUCUGGACUGUAAUCUGAGUUUUAAGUUACUACGUGCUAUUAAAGAGCUGAGCUUGUAGAGUACAUUCACAUGCAGUUCCAUAUUUCAUAAUUUUCUGUAAUUAUCAUAUAUACAUAGAAAGACAUAUAACACAUGUGUACAGUUUAAAGAAUGAUUAUAAUAUGAACACUCAGUUAACCACCGAUCAGAUAAAGAAAAAUUACCAGCAUUCCAGGAGCCCCACCUUCACCAUGUGCUCUAUCCAGAUGGUGACCUCUUCUCUCCUCUGGGUAGCUACUGUCUUUACUUUUGUCAUUUUCUUGCUUCUCUUUGUAAUGUAGCAACUUAUAUUUGUAUCAUAGCACGUAUAGUUUAGGUUUGCCUGGUUUUGAACUUAUAUGAAUAGAAUUAUGUGCUCUUGUGUCUGGCAUCUUUCAGUGUUACACGUCUGAGAUUUUCUCUGUGUUUUUGCCAUCCAGUGAAAUUUCUUUAAAAAGCCUUUUCUAUAUUUGAUCCUCUCCCUUUUUUACUUAGGAUCCCUCUAAAUGCUUUCAGUUAUUCCUCCUUUGCCUUCUUGGAUUUUCUGCUAAAUAAGGUCUAAAGACUCAAAGUUGUCUGGACCCCAGUUUUGUGAACAUAUCCGACUGACCCAGUUUGAUGGCAUUCGUUUAGAUGAGACUACAUCUUUAAGGCUUCUGUGCUCGGUUAAAAAUCUUCCUUUCUCCAAGCUGGUCCAAGGGUCUGGUCACGUGACGCCACCAGUGACAUCACAUUCUGACCGCGGGGAACACUGGUGGUUCUUUAGGUGGCGUUUGUUCCUGUGAAAGGCAGAGAACGCAGCAAGUGCCCUUCUAAAGCAGUUCAUACCGGGGCUCCUUCUGUAAAAGCUCCUCAACCUAAAUGACCAAAUGCUGGCUGCCAAAGUUAUUUCUUCCUUGAGGCAGAAAAAAAGAAAGCUGUGAUUGAAGAGGAAAAGUCAUACAAUGGUGGAGGAAUAGGUUCUUCAAAUAGGAUGAUGGACUUCUUGGAGGAGCCAAUCCCUGGUGUGGGGACCUAUGAUGAUUUCAAUACAAUUGACUGGGUGAGGGAGAAGUCUCGAGACCGAGAUAGGCACCGAGAGAUUACCAAUAAAAGCAAAGAGUCAACAUGGGCCUUAAUUCACAGUGUGAGUGAUGCUUUUUCUGGCUGGUUGUUGAUGCUACUUAUUGGGCUCUUAUCAGGCUCCUUAGCUGGCUUGAUAGACAUUUCUGCUCAUUGGAUGACAGACUUAAAAGAAGGCAUAUGCACAGAGGGAUUCUGGUUUAACCAUGAACACUGUUGCUGGAACUCUGAGCACGUCACCUUCGAAGACAGAGACAAAUGCCCUGAGUGGAAUAGCUGGUCCCAGCUUCUCAUCAGCACAGAUGAGGGAGCCUUUGCUUACAUAGUCAAUUAUUUCAUGUACGUCCUCUGGGCUCUCCUAUUUGCCUUCCUUGCCGUGUCUCUUGUCAAGGUAUUUGCGCCUUAUGCCUGUGGCUCUGGAAUUCCUGAGAUAAAAACUAUCUUGAGCGGUUUUAUUAUUAGGGGCUAUUUGGGUAAGUGGACCCUGAUUAUCAAAACCAUCACGUUGGUGCUGGCCGUGUCAUCAGGCUUGAGCCUGGGCAAAGAGGGCCCCCUAGUGCACGUGGCUUGCUGCUGUGGGAACAUCCUGUGCCACUGCUUCAACAAAUACAGGAAGAAUGAGGCCAAGCGCAGAGAGGUCUUGUCGGCUGCAGCAGCAGCUGGUGUAUCCGUAGCCUUUGGGGCACCGAUCGGUGGAGUGUUAUUCAGCCUAGAAGAGGUCAGCUACUAUUUCCCCCUCAAAACGUUGUGGCGUUCAUUCUUUGCUGCCUUGGUGGCAGCAUUUACUCUACGUUCCAUCAAUCCAUUUGGAAACAGCCGACUGGUUCUGUUUUAUGUGGAGUUUCACACCCCAUGGCAUCUCUUUGAGCUUGUGCCGUUCAUUCUGCUGGGUAUAUUUGGUGGUCUGUGGGGUGCUUUGUUUAUCCGCACCAACAUCGCCUGGUGUCGGAAGCGUAAGACCACUCAGUUGGGCAAGUAUCCUGUCAUAGAGGUACUUGUUGUGACAGCCAUCACUGCUAUCCUGGCUUUCCCCAAUGAAUACACCCGCAUGAGCACAAGUGAGCUCAUUUCUGAGCUGUUUAAUGACUGUGGCCUUCUGGAUUCCUCCAAGCUUUGUGACUAUGAGAACCGUUUCAACACAAGCAAGGGGGGUGAACUGCCCGACAGACCGGCUGGUGUGGGAGUCUACAGUGCCAUGUGGCAGCUGGCCUUGACACUCAUACUGAAAAUUGUCAUCACUAUAUUCACCUUUGGCAUGAAGAUCCCAUCUGGCCUGUUUAUCCCCAGCAUGGCUGUUGGUGCUAUAGCAGGCCGACUUUUAGGAGUAGGAAUGGAGCAGCUGGCUUAUUACCACCAUGACUGGGCCAUCUUUAAUAGCUGGUGUAGUCAAGGAGCAGAUUGUAUCACCCCUGGACUUUAUGCGAUGGUUGGGGCUGCAGCCUGCUUAGGUGGGGUGACUCGGAUGACUGUUUCUCUCGUUGUCAUAAUGUUUGAACUAACUGGUGGCUUGGAGUACAUUGUGCCUCUGAUGGCUGCAGCCAUGACAAGCAAGUGGGUGGCAGAUGCUCUGGGGCGGGAGGGCAUCUAUGAUGCCCACAUUCGUCUCAAUGGUUACCCCUUUCUUGAAGCCAAAGAAGAGUUUGCUCAUAAGACUCUGGCAAUGGAUGUGAUGAAACCCCGUAGAAAUGAUCCUUUAUUGACUGUCCUUACUCAGGACAGCAUGACCGUGGAAGAUGUAGAGACUAUCAUCAGUGAAACCACUUAUAGUGGCUUCCCAGUGGUGGUGUCCCGGGAAUCCCAAAGACUUGUGGGUUUCGUUCUCCGAAGAGAUCUCAUCAUUUCAAUCGAAAAUGCUCGCAAAAAACAGGAUGGAGUUGUGAGCACUUCCAUCAUUUAUUUCACUGAGCAUUCUCCUCCGAUGCCACCAUACACACCACCCACCCUAAAGCUUCGGAACAUCCUGGAUCUCAGCCCCUUCACUGUGACUGACCUUACACCCAUGGAGAUUGUAGUGGAUAUCUUCCGCAAGCUGGGACUGCGGCAGUGCCUGGUUACGCACAAUGGGCGAUUGCUUGGAAUCAUUACCAAAAAGGAUGUGCUAAAGCAUAUAGCACAGAUGGCGAACCAAGAUCCUGACUCCAUUCUCUUCAACUAGAAUCACAGGGUUGUGCUGGAUAUAAAACAGGAAGGACAUUGCAGACCAUGGAUGUAUUUUAUUAACUGGUUGUGUGCUCCAAGGAGAGAAGUUCUUGGAACAGCAAGUGUUUAGCAACUUCACGUUACUCCACAAAUGUUUGCUGGCUGCAGUCUCACUUCUAAACAUCUGGAUCUGGGCAAAGUUUUAAAGUGAUGUAAGAAACAAAAUUGUUUUUUUCCACUGUGCAGUCCGAUUUUGCCGAAUUUCCCAGGAAAGAAAGUAUAUGAUGUACAGAGUUAACAUUUCUUGGAUGGGACCUAUCAAGUCACCCUGCCUAAUCCCACAGUCAUAAAUUCCUACCUCUCAGUUCCAGCCAAAGGGUCUUCAGCCUUUGCGUGCACUCACUGCAUGCCCAAAGUUUGGCCUUUUAAAAGGAGAAACAGCAUAUGAUGGUUUUUAAAAAAUGAUCUUUGCCUCUCCUUCUCUGUCUUCUCCCCCCCCCCCUUUUUUUCCUGUCAUCCACAAAUUCACAUUUUUCUCAGUUUGCAACUGUGCUGUUUUGAAUGUGAACCUUGGGGAAAGGACAGCAUCUCUCUGAGAAUAGAGAAUGGAAGAUGCUUCUGAGUUGGCGGGCCAAACAGGGCUUUGUGCUACUGUAGAGGCCAAAGCCAGUAGUAUUUGUUGAGAGUGUUGAAGGCUUUAGCAUCUCAAGGCAGACAUAUGAAGUAGUCAGAGCUAAACAUUAUCGUCUACUCAUCCAAACCUAUUGAAAGUCAGCGGCAGCCUAGGAUUUAGUGAGUGAAAUGCCAUCUGGCAAAAUGGGGAUGAGGGAGUAGCCUGAGAUGGUUUUAUCAGGGUGGGAAUGUUCAGUCUCAUUAUCAUAUUGAGUGUACCUCAAAAUACAUGGUCCUUUCAAGAGUGCUCAUUUUCCAUUCUCCAUUUCACUUCAUCCUUUUUCCUCCCUCCUUUCUCUCUCAUUGCCCUGCCUUUUAAGUACUCAGCUUUUCAAUAAGUAUUUACAUUUUUAUUAUAUAUUUGGUCCUUUAGGACUAUGUAAUGAUUAAGAAUUAAUUGCAUUCUAGAUUUAAAACAAUGAUGUUUAAUAUUUUGUUCUUUUAAACUGUCUUUUGAAGCUAUGCUGCUAACCAGGUACAGGCCAGAAAGGAGUUGGACCUGACCGACAGCACCCUGGUCAUGUUACCUAAGGGUGACAUUGAUGUCAUCAUGGUGACUCUUCUCUAUUUUACCAAGGCCAGCCUCCUGCUCUUACCUCUGUUCAUUCAUUCCUGGCUCUGGGAAAAAUAUUACCCAUUGGGUGAGCUGAUGAGGCCAGGAAGGUAAGAAAAGCUGGGUUCCUGCCCAUGGGCCACAUAUGAAUUCUCUGUAAUACGCUCAUUUGUAGGGCCGGCUCCAACUGCAGUAGCCAAAGAAAACCUGUCUGACUCCACAUUUCAGUUCCUAAGUGUUGGUAAAAGUUCAGCUGAAGCUAAUGUGUAGAUAUCGGCAGUAGCUAGGCAAAUACAGAAACUAGCAUCAACCAAAGCUAAUAUAGCCCAAGUUUCCCUAGGAAGCUUGGUGCUGAGCUGUUCAGAGCAAUUAUUUAUUGGAGUGUUGCCAACCCUUAAGUCAUGCUUUCUUAGCUUUAUUCUAGCUUAUGGAGAUGUUGGUCCCCGUUCAUAGGCACAGCCGGUACCAAAGCUAUAGCUUACUGCUCACUUCAUUUUGCUCCCUAGUCAUGCAUAGCAACAUAGUCUAAAAAGGAAGACAUAGGCUGGGGAGUUAGGAGACCUGGUUUCUAUUCCUUAUGCUUCUACUAACUAGCCUCGAGAUCUUAACCGCUCUGUGCCUCAGUGUUCCCAUCUGCAAAAUGGGGAUAGUGUUAAUUGCCCUACCUACCUCACAGGGUUGUUGUGAGGAUAAACUGAGACAAUGAAUGGAAAGUACUUUGACAAGUGCUAUGCAAAUCAUAAGAAAUGGAAACAAUCAUGUUAAAAGCAGUGGAAUGGACAUUGGCAGAAGGGUUAAUGGGAUUGUCCAGCCCUUUCUCUGUGUGGUAUAAACCCGGGUCGCCAUUGCUUUAUACAUUUUCACUUAGCACAGAUUUGUAAUUAUGCAUGUAAUAAAGCACAGCCUUAUCCAA